rnacentral:rRNA from 1 species
GCCUACGGCCAUACCACCCUGGAAACGCCUGAUCUCGGAAGCUAAGCAGGGUCGGGCUCGGUUAGUACUUGGAUGGGAGACUGCCUGGGAAUACCGAGUGUCGUAGGCG